UUCUUCAAGUUACCAGCAGAACCUUACCUCUCUCCAUAGCUGGGGUUUCUUCAACUUUCAAGCUUCAUAAUCAAGAAGAGCGAAAUUCGAGAGUAGAUCGGGAAAAGAAAAGUAAAGGACUAAAUUGUAAAGUUUAGUCACAUUUUGUAUCGAGUACUUAUCUAGCCACUCGGGGAUCGAAGGAAACGUCGGAGGCCGAUCACACUAUCAAAGAAAUAACUCGGUAUAAUUAGAUGUUUUGUUUUGUGUAUGGCAUGUAUAGAAACUUAGCUACUUUUGGUUUAAUAUGAACAAUGAAUGAUGUGUAAA